rnacentral:lncRNA from 1 species
UGACAUCAUUGUUAACCAGCAAACAGGCUUCGGAUGCUCUUUGGAGACUGGGAAGCUCAAGUGCGGAGGAUAAUGAAGCUCAUUGCUGGAGGUGGCUUGUCCAUCACGGGCUCGCACAACAUGUGUGGGGACUAUCUGUACAGUGGACACACAGUCAUGCUAACGCUCACCUACCUGUUUAUCAAGGAGUAUUCCCCUCGGCGGCUCUGGUGGUACCACUGGAUUUGCUGGCUCCUCAGCGUCGUUGGAAUCUUCUGUAUUCUCUUAGCGCAUGACCACUACACUGUGGACGUGGUGGUAGCAUAUUACAUCACCACAAGACUCUUCUGGUGGUAUCACACGAUGGCCAAUCAGCAAGUGCUGAAGGAAGCUUCCCAGAUGAACCUCCUGG